rnacentral:pre_miRNA from 1 species
AAGAUACUCCCUCCGUUCAAAAAAGCUUGUCCCUCAAAUGGAUGUAUCUAGCAUCAAGUUAGUGCUAGAUACAUUCAUUUGAGCAACAAGCUUGGGACAAGUUUUUUCGGACGGAGGGAGUACAAA